rnacentral:rRNA from 1 species
UACAGAAGUCUCAAGCGUUGUUCGGAUUCAUUGGGCGUAAAGGGUGUGUAGGUGGCGCGCUAAGUCGGGUGUGAAAUUUCGGAGCUUAACUCCGAAACUGCAUUCGAUACUGGCGUGCUUGAGGACUGGAGAGGAGACUGGAAUUCAUGGUGUAGCAGUGAAAUGCGUAGAGAUCAUGAGGAAGACCAGUGGCGAAGGCGGGUCUCUGGACAGUUCCUGACACUGAGACACGAAGGCCAGGGGAGCAAACGGG